rnacentral:tRNA from 1 species
GGGGGCGCAUGUGGCCUGGUGGCUGCCCCAGUCUUCAAAACUGGUGCGACCCGACUGCGUCGGGUUGGGUGGGUUCGAUUCCCACACGCUCCCGCCA